GCUUAACACAUGCAAGUCGAGGGGCAGCAUGGUCUUAGCUUGCUAAGGCCGAUGGCGACCGGCGCACGGGUGAGUAACACGUAUCCAACCUGCCGUCUACUCUUGGACAGCCUUCUGAAAGGAAGAUUAAUACAAGAUGGCAUCAUGAGUCCGCAUGUUCACAUGAUUAAAGGUAUUCCGGUAGACGAUGGGGAUGCGUUCCAUUAGAUAGUAGGCGGGGUAACGGCCCACCUAGUCUUCGAUGGAUAGGGGUUCUGAGAGGAAGGUCCCCCACAUUGGAACUGAGACACGGUCCAAACUCCUACGGGAGGCAGCAGUGAGGAAUAUUGGUCAAUGGGCGAGAGCCUGAACCAGCCAAGUAGCGUGAAGGAUGACUGCCCUAUGGGUUGUAAACUUCUUUUAUAAAGGAAUAAAGUCGGGUAUGCAUACCCGUUUGCAUGUACUUUAUGAAUAAGGAUCGGCUAACUCCGUGCCAGCAGCCGCGGUAAUACGGAGGAUCCGAGCGUUAUCCGGAUUUAUUGGGUUUAAAGGGAGCGUAGAUGGAUGUUUAAGUCAGUUGUGAAAGUUUGCGGCUCAACCGUAAAAUUGCAGUUGAUACUGGAUAUCUUGAGUGCAGUUGAGGCAGGCGGAAUUCGUGGUGUAGCGGUGAAAUGCUUAGAUAUCACGAAGAACUCCGAUUGCGAAGGCAGCCUGCUAAGCUGCAACUGACAUUGAGGCUCGAAAGUGUGGGUAUCAAACAGGAUUAGAUACCCUGGUAGUCCACACGGUAAACGAUGAAUACUCGCUGUUUGCGAUAUACUGCAAGCGGCCAAGCGAAAGCGUUAAGUAUUCCACCUGGGGAGUACGCCGGCAACGGUGAAACUCAAAGGAAUUGACGGGGGCCCGCACAAGCGGAGGAACAUGUGGCUUAAUUCGAUGAUACGCGAGGAACCUUACCCGGGCUUAAAUUGCAGAUGAAUUACGGUGAAAGCCGUAAGCCGCAAGGCAUCUGUGAAGGUGCUGCAUGGUUGUCGUCAGCUCGUGCCGUGAGGUGUCGGCUUAAGUGCCAUAACGAGCGCAACCCUUGUUGUCAGUUACUAACAGGUUCCGCUGAGGACUCUGACAAGACUGCCAUCGUAAGAUGUGAGGAAGGUGGGGAUGACGUCAAAUCAGCACGGCCCUUACGUCCGGGGCUACACACGUGUUACAAUGGGGGGUACAGAGGGCCGCUACCACGCGAGUGGAUGCCAAUCCCCAAAACCUCUCUCAGUUCGGACUGGAGUCUGCAACCCGACUCCACGAAGCUGGAUUCGCUAGUAAUCGCGCAUCAGCCACGGCGCGGUGAAUACGUUCCCGGGCCUUGUACACACCGCCCGUCAAGCCAUGGGAGCCGGGGGUACCUGAAGUGCGUAACCGCGAGGAGCGCCCUAGGGUAAAACUGGUGACUGGGGCUAAGUC
rnacentral:rRNA from 1 species